ensembl:lncRNA novel transcript
CUCACUCAAGAACCCAGCCCCCAUAGUGUGAGGAGGCCUAGGACAGUUACAGAAGCCAUGUGUAUAACCUCAUCCUGGAGCAGGGCACCCUAUCGUCAGAUGGUAUCAUCUUUAAGGGGUUGUCUCAGCCAUGCCUUUAGAAUUACCUUUCAUUGCUUGUCAUGCUGGAAGCUUCUGAAUGUUGCAUUUUGUGAUAGAAACAGUGGGUACCAUGGUCAUGUGCUCACAUCUCCUUUGCGGUAAAGAAAAGGAUCACUCAUUAACAUCCACCAGAUAACAUUCUCCAUGAAAGCACCAAAUAAGGUUUGUCUUGGUCCAUUUUAUGCUGCUAUAACAGAACACCACAGACUGAGAAAUUUAUAAGGAAUAGAAGUUUAUUUGCCUCAUGUUUCUGGAGGCUGGGAAUUCCAAGAUCAAGGGGCUGCAUAGAUUGAGGUCCUUUUUGCUGACUCAUAACGUGGAAAGAGAGUGCACUGCAUAGAAGAAAGGAGGCCAAACUCAUUCUUUUAUCAUGAGCCUACUCCUGAAAUAACUCACUCUCAAGAUAAUGGCAUUAAUCCAUUCAUGAAGGCAGAAUACUCAUGAUGUAAUCACCUCUUAAAAGGUCCUAUUUCCUAACACUGUUGCAUUAGGGAUUAAGCUGUCAACACAUGAAUAUUGGGGGACACAUUCAAACCAUAGCAAGAGUUCUUUGUCUUUGUGACUCGGUGUGGUUCAGCAAAUUGCGAUUGGUCUGCUAUAGCGGACUUUCCCCUCACCUCCCAAAUGUUUAUUAUGAAAAAUUUCAUUUUAAAGAAAGGUGGAAGGAAUUGUUGAAAGAAUAUGUCAUCUAGUUUCUACUGUUGUUAACAUUGUGUCAUAUUUGCCUUUUCAUCCAUCCAACCACCCAUCCAUCUAGCUACCUUAUAAUUACUAUUAUUACUUAUUAUUACUAUUAUUUUUAAAGACACCUCUAUUAAAGCAACCAUCUUAUUUUUUGAUUUUA